rnacentral:rRNA from 1 species
GCUUACGGCCAUACCGUCUGAUCUCGGAAGCUAAGCAGGGUUGGGCCUGGUUAGUACUUGGAUGGGAGACCACCUGGGAAUACCAGGUGCUGUAAGCU